rnacentral:rRNA from 1 species
AGAAGUGAGAAUGCCGGUGUGAGUAGCGAAAGACGGGUGAGAAUCCCGUCCACCGAUUGACUAAGGUUUCCAGAGGAAGGCUCGUCCGCUCUGGGUUAGUCGGGUCCUAAGCUGAGGCCGACAGGCGUAGGCGAUGGAUAACAGGUUGAUAUUCCUGUACCACCAUUAUUCGUUUUAAGCGAUGGGGGGACGCAGUAGGAUAGGCGAAGCGUGCUGUUGGAGUGCACGUCCAAGCAGUGAGAUUGAGUGUUAGGCAAAUCCGGCACUCUUAAGAUUGAGCUGUGAUGGGGAGAGGAACUUGUUCCUCGAGUCGUUGAUUUCACACUGCCGAGAAAAGCCUCUAGCUAGAAUAACGGUGCCCGUACCGCAAACCGACACAGGUAGUCAAGAUGAGAAUUCUAAGGUGAGCGAGCGAACUCUCGUUAAGGAACUCGGCAAAAUGACCCCGUAACUUCGGGAGAAGGGGUGCUCUUUGAGGUUCACGCUUCGAAGAGCCGCAGUGAAUAGGCCCAAGCGACUGUUUAUCAAAAACACAGGUCUCUGCUAAACCGUAAGGUGACGUAUAGGGGCUGACGCCUGCCCGGUGCUGGAAGGUUAAGAGGAGUGGUUAGCGCAAGCGAAGCUACGAAUCGAAGCCCCAGUAAACGGCGGCCGUAACUAUAACGGUCCUAAGGUAGCGAAAUUCCUUGUCGGGUAAGUUCCGACCCGCACGAAAGGCGUAACGAUUUGGGCACUGUCUCAACGAGAGACUCGGUGAAAUCAUAGUACCGGUGAAGAUGCCGGUUACCCGCGACAGGACGGAAAGACCCCGUGGAGCUUUACUGUAGCCUGAUAUUGAAAUUCGGUACAGUUUGUACAGGAUAGGUAGGAGCCUUAGAAGCGUGAGCGCUAGCUUACGUGGAGGCAUUGGUGGGAUACUACCCUAAUUGUAUUGGAUUUCUAACCC